rnacentral:tRNA from 1 species
GGAUCGGUAGCUUUGAGGUUAAGGAGUUUACUUUUAAUGUGAAAAUCAUGGGUUCAAAUCCCAAAUUAUUCG